UACGUAGGUGGCAAGCGUUGUCCGGAUUUAUUGGGUUUAAAGGGUGCGUAGGUGGUCUAUUAAGUCAGUGCUGAAAUAUCCCGGCUUAACCGGGAGGGUGGCAUUGAUACUGAUGGACUUGAGUGGAGUCGAGGUAGGCGGAAUUGACGGUGUAGCGGUGAAAUGCUUAGAUAUCGUCAAGAACACCGAUAGUGCAGGCAGCUUACUAGGCUCUAACUGACACUGAGGCACGAAAGUGUGGGGAUCAAACAGG
rnacentral:rRNA from 1 species